rnacentral:rRNA from 1 species
GACGUAGGAUGCAAGCGUUGUUCGGAUUUAUUGGGCGUAAAGCGUACGUAGGCGGUUCGGCAAGUGGGAGGUUAAAGACCAGGGCUCAACCCUGGGAGUGCCCCCCAAACUGCCAGACUAGAGGGUCAUAGGGGAAAGUGGAAUUCCGAGUGUAGCGGUGAAAUGCGUAGAUAUUCGGAGGAACGCCAGUGGCGAAAGCGACUUUCUGGGUGAUUCCUGACGCUGAGGUACGAAAGCAUGGGGAGCAAACAGG